rnacentral:lncRNA from 13 species
CUCAUGCUUAUAAUCCUGGCACUUUGGGAGGCUGAGGCAGGUGGAUCCCUUUAACCCAGGAGUUCCAUAGCAGCCUAGGCAACAUGGUGAAAAUCCAUCUGUAUCAAAACUACACAAAUUAGCCAGAUGUGAAGGCACACAUCUGUAGUCCCAGCUACUAAGGAGGCUGAGAUGGUAGGAUUGCUUGAGCCCAGGAGAUUGAGGCUGCAGUGAGUCAUGAAUGUGCCACUAUACUCCAGCCUGGGUGACAGAGACCUUUGGGGUGUCACUUUGCCAGCUGGAAACCUCUGUGGCCAGUGACGCCUUUGAGUUUUCACUUGGGCCUGCCAGGCUUGUUCUGCCCGCUCAGCCUGGUAAACCGUGCUCGGCUCAUGCUACCAGCCUGAAUCUCAUGCCUGCCAAGGCUGGACCAGAUGUGCUGCAAACAGCUUCCAUGGCUCACACCAGGGGAUGAGGUAAUGCAUGGAAGCUUGGAGAUACCAGGAACUGCAGAACCCCAGAGAGGGUGUCAUGCCCUGGCUCAGGAACCUCCUAGGUCUGGACUCCCCAAAAGGCCACACCUCUUCUCUCCUUCUCUCCUAGUCACCCACAAUGUGACGAGCAAGAGGUAUGUUUCAGCCCUGUUUGUAUUACAACUAUUUUAGCCCCACCGUUCAUAGGUCCUAAGUUCUUGUUCUGUGUCCAUGAAAAAAGAACAUGGACAAGUGGAGGGUGAGCAAAGUAAAGUGGAGCUUUAUUGAGCAACAGAGCAGCUCCAAGGAGGCCCGCAGUGGGUAGCUCCUCUUCACAGUCAGAUCAUCCUGAUAAGUGUUCAGCUCUCAGCUGAGUAGACAUCUUGGAGUGAGUAGCUCCUCUUCACAGCUGGUAGUCCAGAGGUCUGCUCAGUUCUCAGUGGAGAGGAGGCCUUGGAGUUGGUACUUUCUCUUCACAGACAGGUCAUCCAGUCAUCUUCAGUCUGGCUGAGUCUAGGGUUUUUAAUGGGCUCCUGAGGGGAGAAAGUGUGUGCUGAUUAGUUCAUAGGCAGCCAUGGAUGUGCCCAGAAAA